AUCCCUUUCACCUGGCCAGAGCAGACAGACCUGGCGUGGCACGGAGAGACGUGUGGAUUUAUGACAGCAGCAGGCUUGAGUCUUAUCAUUCUGUAAUCUAUCAGAUGCUCACACACACACACACACACACACACACACACACACACACACACA